GACGAACGCUGGCGGCGUGCUUAACACAUGCAAGUCGAACGGAAAGGCCCUGCUUUUGUGGGGUGCUCGAGUGGCGAACGGGUGAGUAACACGUGAGUAACCUGCCCUUGACUUUGGGAUAACUUCAGGAAACUGGGGCUAAUACCGGAUAGGAGCUCAUGCUGCAUGGUGGGGGUUGGAAAGUUUCGGCGGUUGGGGAUGGACUCGCGGCUUAUCAGCUUGUUGGUGGGGUAGUGGCUUACCAAGGCUUUGACGGGUAGCCGGCCUGAGAGGGUGACCGGCCACAUUGGGACUGAGAUACGGCCCAGACUCCUACGGGAGGCAGCAGUGGGGAAUAUUGCACAAUGGGCGGAAGCCUGAUGCGGCAACGCCGCGUGCGGGAUGACGGCCUUCGGGUUGUAAACCGCUUUCGCCUGUGACGAAGCGUGAGUGACGGUAAUGGGUAAAGAAGCACCGGCUAACUACGUG
rnacentral:rRNA from 1 species